UAGCGGCCAAGAUGGCGCUAGCGGUUGGAGCAGGGGCUCUGCUGCGACCUUUACGGUAGUGAGGUUAGGGACGAUGGGAGAGCAGCUUUGUUCCUGAAGUGCCGUCGAGGAUUAGGAUCGAGUUUCUUCGAUCGUGAGGGCAAUUAUUAGUGGCCUCUAGCCCCCCAGAUGGCAUCUUGAGGAGAGAGAAUCCACGCUACGAGAACUAACAUAGUGGACAUCGCAGUUGUCCGUAGCCGAUUUGCGGGUUACGGAGUUGUUGCAAGUAAAGAAGGGGAAAUCCGAGCGUUCUCGCGUUGGAUUUCCUCCACGUGUGAAGUGGGAAUGGUAGUGAUAUCUCGUGCUAUCUCUGUCAAGGGCAAGAAGGAGAAGGAAUUUAUUUGAGGCCCUACGACGUGGGACAGAAGGUGAGGGAGUGAGAAAAAUCGAAGCCAGAGGAAAAUCUAUCAUACCCCAAGAGAUGAAGAGCACAUAAA
rnacentral:lncRNA from 1 species